rnacentral:rRNA from 1 species
UACGGGGGAUGCAAGCGCUAUCCGGAAUUAUUGGGCGUAAAGCGUCCGCAGGUGGUUUGUCAAGUCUGCUGUUAAAGCGUGGAGCUUAACUCCAUAUCGGCGGUGGAAACUGAUGAACUAGAGGGUGGUAGGGGUCACGGGAAUUCCCAGUGUAGCGGUGAAAUGCGUAGAUAUUGGGAAGAACACCAGCGGCGAAAGAGCGUGACGGGGCCAUUAGUGACUCUCAUGGACGAAAGCUAGGGGAGCGAAAGGG